CCAAGUAUGUGCAUUAUGAGGAUAAAACUCUCUUGACUUGCGCCUGCAUAUCGGAUGCAUGAACUUCACAAAAACCAUGUGAUCGACGGUGAUGCAGUUUUUGAUGAAGCCCACUCACCACGUGACGUCCAUGAACGUUGAAUUUUGGGCGAUAUCAGGGUUAGUGUUUGAAGUCUUCAACUUCAUUCCCAGACUCAUGUUUUGAGGAUGUUUUGAGGAUUAUUCUACCUGGCUCAGACAGGGAGAGUCCACUACGUAUACAGGUGCUGCUGUCGCUGUGCCAGGCCCGGGCCGCUGUGCUCUGCUGCGGUGUGUGGCUGAGUGAUGCAGCGCUACGCUCAGAGCUUCUGCAGUUCAUGCUGGGAGGGAUGCAGAGUCGCCUGGACAGCAGCAUAGUGUGUGAGGGACAUGGUGGUGGGGGAGUGUCUCCGCUCCUGCAUGGACAUCAACAGAGCUAAGCUCAAAUUCAAGGAUGAGGAGACCAAGGAGCUGCUCUCACUGAUGAAUCAACUGUCUAAUGAAGAAACAGAUUUGACCUUCAGGAAGAUCCAAGGGCAGACUGUACCCUCUCAGGCAAUACCAACCCAGUUUGCUUCUGUGGCCCAGAAAUCAGGAGCGGACCCAGACUCAAGCUGGAUAGGUAAGAGGGCAUUAUCAUAAUCAAACCUAUAACACAAUACCGCUUGUUAUACACUACAUUUAUUGACAAUGUUGUCUGUGAAACUGAAGUUGUAUCUUUCAUUGAAAUCAUUACAACUUAAUGAAUCUUCCCAUGGGCACUUAAGCAUGGUGUUGAACUCACCAGCUUGUAGUCCUAAAAAAUGGAAAUGAGUUACCUCUGGUUUGUUCAGCCAUUCCUGUGGGGAAAGAAUAGGGUUUUGGGGUAAAUGCCAAAAAUAAGGUCUGAGGUCAACACAGGUUUAGGAGAUCUUAUACAUUUUGUUCUAUGAGAUAAUCGAUCAGUCAUCACCUUUAUGAAUUGAAGCCUUUGUGCUUCUUAUAAUUACAUAAAUGCCUCAAUAUUCACAGUGAUGUUGGCUGAAAGAUUAUCAUAACAAAACAUAAGAUUUCCUAAGCCUGUGUUUACCACCAAACUUAUUUUCUGCAUUUAUACAAAAACGCCAUUAAUUUCCCCAUAGAGUGGAGUUAGAGCCUCCAAAAAGACGCCAUUUCUAUCUCUAUAGUGUUGUAUUAACUAGGCUCUAUCCUGUGUGUAUGAACCAGUGAUGAGUCGCUCACUCCCUAUGAUAUAUUCCUACGGGCAGGGCCGUUAUUGGCAGGCCUUAGGGGGCCUGGCCCGCCCUACUGUAUCUCCUUGCCCAUCCAAAUAAAAUACUGAUCAUUUAAAGUGCCUUCGGAAAGUAUUCAGACCCCUUGAAUUUUCCCACAUU